rnacentral:tRNA from 1 species
GUGGGUAUAGCUCAGUGGUAGAGGACAUGCUUCGUAUUCAUGAGAUCCUGGGUUCAAUCCCCAGUACUUCCA